rnacentral:rRNA from 1 species
GCCAGCGGCUAUAGCACGUCAAAAGCACCAGGUCACCAUGGAUCACUGGAGUUAAGCAACCUCGCGCGUGGUUAGUAUUCGGAUGUCACCCAUCCGGACACUAACCACCUGGACAAUCGCGAGCUGGUGGCU